rnacentral:tRNA from 1 species
CCCUGUGUGGAUCAGUUGGUAGAGCAGGGCACUUGCAAUGCCAGGGUUGUGGGUUCAAAUCCCACAGGGG